UAUGGCCACAUCACACUGAAACACCACCUCCCAUAUGAUCUCUGAAGUUAAGCAAUAUCAAGUCUAGUCAUUACCUAGAUGGGUGACCACUUGGGAAUACCAGGUGCUAUA